rnacentral:rRNA from 1 species
GAUGAACGCUGGCGGCGUGCUUAACACAUGCAAGUCGAACGAUGAAGCCCAGCUUGCUGGGUGGAUUAGUGGCGAACGGGUGAGUAACACGUGAGUAACAUGCCCUUAACUCUGGGAUAAGCCUGGGAAACUGGGUCUAAUACCGGAUAGGAGCGUCCACCGCAUGGUGGGUGUUGGAAAGAUUUAUCGGUUUUGGAUGGACUCGCGGCCUAUCAGCUUGUUGGUGAGGUAAUGGCUCACCAAGGCGACGACGGGUAGCCGGCCUGAGAGGGUGACCGGCCACACUGGGACUGAGACACGGCCCAGACUCCUACGGGAGGCAGCAGUGGGGAAUAUUGCACAAUGGGCGGAAGCCUGAUGCAGCGACGCCGCGUGAGGGAUGACGGCCUUCGGGUUGUAAACCUCUUUCAGUAGGGAAGAAGCGAAAGUGACGGUACCUGCAGAAGAAGCACCGGCUAACUACGUG